UACGGAGGAUCCAAGCGUUAUCCGGAAUCAUUGGGUUUAAAGAGUCCGUAGGCGGCCCUGUAAGUCAGUGGUGAAAUCUCACGGCUCAACCGUGAAAUUGCCAUUGAUACUGCAGGGCUUGAAUUACUAGGAAGUAACUAGAAUAUGUAGUGUAGCGGUGAAAUGCUUAGAGAUUACAUGGAAUACCGAUUGCGAAGGCAGGUUACUACUAGUGGAUUGACGCUGAUGGACGAAAGCGUGGGUAGCGAACAGG
rnacentral:rRNA from 1 species